rnacentral:tRNA from 1 species
GGUCGGUUAGCUCAGUUGGUUAGAGCGUGGUACUAAUAAGCUAUCCAGCUUAUCGGUAAAUGCCAAGGUCAUGAGUUCGACCCUCAUACUGACCA